GACGAACGCUGGCGGCGUGCUUAACACAUGCAAGUCGAACGGAAAGGCCCUGCUUUUGUGGGGUGCUCGAGUGGCGAACGGGGGAGUAACACGUGAGUAACCUGCCCUUGACUUUGGGAUAACUUCAGGAAACUGGGGCUAAUACCGGAUAGGAGCUCCUGCUGCAUGGUGGGGGUUGGAAAGUUUCGGCGGUUGGGGAUGGACUCGCGGCUUAUCAGCUUGUUGGUGGGGUAGUGGCUUACCAAGGCUUUGACGGGUAGCCGGCCUGAGAGGGUGACCGGCCACAUUGGGACUGAGAUACGGCCCAGACUCCUACGGGAGGCAGCAGUGGGGAAUAUUGCACAAUGGGCGGAAGCCUGAUGCAGCACCGCCGCGUGCGGGAUGACGGCCUUCGGGUUGUAAACCGCUUUCGCCUGUGACGAAGCGUGAGUGACGGUAAUGGGUAAAGAAGCACCGGCUAACUACGUG
rnacentral:rRNA from 1 species